GAGAGGAACUUGUUCCUCGAGUCGUUGAUUUCACACUGCCGAGAAAAGCCUCUAGCUAGAAUAACGGUGCCCGUACCGCAAACCGACACAGGUAGUCAAGAUGAGAAUUCUAAGGUGAGCGAGCGAACUCUCGUUAAGGAACUCGGCAAAAUGACCCCGUAACUUCGGGAGAAGGGGUGCUCUUUGAGGUUCACGCUUCGAAGAGCCGCAGUGAAUAGGCCCAAGCGACUGUUUAUCAAAAACACAGGUCUCUGCUAAACCGUAAGGUGACGUAUAGGGGCUGACGCCUGCCCGGUGCUGGAAGGUUAAGAGGAGUGGUUAGCGCAAGCGAAGCUACGAAUCGAAGCCCCAGUAAACGGCGGCCGUAACUAUAACGGUCCUAAGGUAGCGAAAUUCCUUGUCGGGUAAGUUCCGACCCGCACGAAAGGCGUAACGAUUUGGGCACUGUCUCAACGAGAGACUCGGUGAAAUCAUAGUACCGGUGAAGAUGCCGGUUACCCGCGACAGGACGGAAAGACCCCGUGGAGCUUUACUGUAGCCUGAUAUUGAAAUUCGGUACAGUUUGUACAGGAUAGGUAGGAGCCUUAGAAGCGUGAGCGCUAGCUUACGUGGAGGCAUUGGUGGGAUACUACCCUAAUUGUAUUGGAUUUCUAACCCGCAGCACUUAUCGUGCUGGGAGACAGUGUCAGGCGGGCAGUUUGACUGGGGCGGUCGCCUCCUAAAGAGUAACGGAGGCGCUCAAAGGUUCCCUCAGAAUGGUUGGAAAUCAUUCAUAGAGUGUAAAGGCAUAAGGGAGCUUGACUGCGAGACCUACAAGUCGAGCAGGGUCGAAAGACGGACUUAGUGAUCCGGUGGUUCCGCAUGGAAGGGCCAUCGCUCAACGGAUAAAAGCUACCCCGGGGAUAACAGGCUUAUCUCCCCCAAGAGUUCACAUCGACGGGGAGGUUUGGCACCUCGAUGUCGGCUCAUCGCAUCCUGGGGCUGUAGUCGGUCCCAAGGGUUGGGCUGUUCGCCCAUUAAAGCGGUACGCGAGCUGGGUUCAGAACGUCGUGAGACAGUUCGGUCCCUAUCCGUCGUGGGCGUAGGAAAUUUGAGAGGAGCUGUCCUUAGUACGAGAGGACCGGGAUGGACAUACCUCUGGUGUACCAGUUGUCGUGCCAACGGCAUAGCUGGGUAGCUAUGUAUGGACGGGAUAAGUGCUGAAAGCAUCUAAGCAUGAAGCCCCCCUCGAGAUGAGAUUUCCCAACUUC
rnacentral:rRNA from 1 species